rnacentral:rRNA from 1 species
GAUGAACGCUGGCGGCGUGCUUAACACAUGCAAGUCGAACGGGAUCCAAGGGGUGCUUGCUCUUUUUGGUGAGAGUGGCGAACGGGUGAGUAACACGUGAGUAACCUGUCCUUUUCUUUGGGAUAAGCAUUCGAAAGGGUGUUUAAUACCUUAUGUUCUGUCUGCCUCGCAUGGGGGGGGUUGGAAAGGCUUUGGCCGGAAUGGGGUGGGCUGGCGGUCUAUUGGCGUGUUGGUGGGGUGAUGGCUUACCAAGGCUUUGGCGGGUAGCGGGUCGCAGGGGGUACUGGGUCAGAGUGGGACUGCAGAAUGGUACAGACGGCAGCGGGGGGGAACAGUGGGGGAUAUUGCAAAAUGGGAGAAAGCCUGACGCAGCGACGCAGGGUGGGGGAUGGAGGCUUUAGGGUUGUAAGCUUCUUUUGCUCUGAACAAGGCAUGCCAGUGGGUGUGUGGAGUGUAGGGGUGGAUAAGCGCCGGCUAACUACGUG